AUCAAUGCUCAAACCGCGUUGGAACCACUCGUUCUCGUCCGAUCACGAAAGUUAAGCAACGCCGGGCACGGAUAGUACUUAGAUGGGUGACCGCUUGGGAACUCCGUGUGGCAUUGGUU
rnacentral:rRNA from 1 species